rnacentral:lncRNA from 1 species
AGUUUUUUGUUUGUUUGUUUGUUUUUUUGUCUUUUUGCCCUUUCUAGGGCCGCACCUGUGGCACAUGGAGGUUCCCAGGCUAGAGGUCUAGCCAGAGCUGCAGCCACCGGCCUACACCAGAGCCACAGCAAUGCAGGAUCUGCGACCUACACCACAGCUCACCACAACGCCGGAUCCUUAACCCACUGAGCGAGGCCAGGGAUCGAACCCGAAACCUCAUGGUUCCUCGUCGGAUUCGUUAACCACUGAACCAUGACAGGAACUCCAGAGUCCAUAUUUUGAGAAAACUUCCCAGGAGAUUCUGGAGAGAGUUAGCCAAGCAUCUCACAGCGGAUCCUGCCUUGGUGCCUGGAAACCACUGCUGUCCACCAUUCAUGUAUGUGGAUUUCAGAACCUUUCCAGAGAGCGAGUUUCAGGGAGAGGAAGCCGUGUGUUCACAAAGAGCCCAUUUUCCUUGCUCCCGCCAUCUGCUCAGUGUGUUAAGUGAGAUAAUGUUUCUCUACCCCUUGGAACGCUUUGUGGUUCCACCGCCUCACUGUGGUUCCCAUCACGUCAGCCUCGAAGGUGGAGUGGCCUGUCAGCACCAUGAACUUCUGCAUGGAGCCACGGAAUCAACUUUAUCUCCUCAGCUUCCGACUCUGCCGUGUGAAUCCAGGCUAGGAGGGUCCCCAGGGCUUAUGGUUAAGAGGUCACAUGGCCAUCUCUUGACGCGGCCAGGAGAUGUUUCCUCUUUAGCAACAGAAGGACACAAAGCCUCCUAGAAUUGCUACUUAAUAUCCAGGAGAUGACAGUAAGCAGACAGGAUGAAUCUAGAGAUUUUUCUUACCUAUGGGAAGCUUGGCGAGGCAUGUGAAAAUCCUGUAAACUAAGUUUAAAAACAAGGGUUUGUUUUGUUCAUUCAUUCCCUUGACAAACAUUUAUUGAGCAUCGCUGACCUUACCCUCUGCUCUCUUGUUUCUUCCAUUCGAGCCACACUGUCCUGUUAUUGUUCUUAGAACAAACCAGGCACCCUCCUGCCUUAAAGGAUGGGCUCUACCUGAUCCUAGGCGGGGAGCACUCUUACCCAGGUCUGCGAGGCUGCCCUCCUUUCCUCCUCCAAGCCUUGCUCACAUGCUGCCUUCUCAAUGAGACUUAACCUGACUACCCUCUUUAACUUUUUUGUUGUUGCUGUCUUUUGAGGGCAGCGCCUGUGGCAUAAGGAAGUUCUCAGGUUAGGGGUUGAAUUGGAGCUGUAGCUGCCAGCUGACACCACAGCCACAGCAACGUUCGAUCCAAGCUGCAUCUGCAGCCUACACUGCAGCUCACAGGAGGGCAGGAUCCUUAACUCACUCAGCAGGGCCAGGGGUUGAACCUGCAUCCUCAUGGAUACCAGUCAGGUUCGUUAUGGCUGAGCCACAACAGGAACUGCUAUUUCGCUUUUUAACACAAGCAGCUUCCCUUCCUGAUCUUGCCCUACCUUUUCAUUUUUCCCUGGAACUUUUCAACUUUUAACAUACCAUGUACUUUAAUUUAAAAAAAAUUUUUAAAUGGAUGUAUAAUUGAUUUACAAUAUUGUGUUAGGUUGCAGACGCGGCUCGGAUCCCGCGUUGCUGUGGCUCUGGUGUAGGCCGGUGGCUACAGCUCCGAUUGGACCCCUAGCCUGGGAACCUCCAUAUGCCGUGGGAGCGGCCCAAGAAAAGGCAAAAAGACAAAAAGACCAAAAAAAAAUUUGCUAAGAGAGUACAUCUUAAAAGUUCUCAACACAUUCACAAAAUUGUAACUAUGUGUGGUGAUAGAUGUUAAUAAAGUUAUUAUGGUGAUCAUUUCACAAUAUAUAUGUAUAUCAUAUCAUUGCGUUGUACACCUGGACUAAUAUGUUAUGUGUCAGCUAUAUCUCAAUAAGAAGAAGAAAGACUAAGAAAAAUCCACUUGUGAACUCACUUCUGGGAACUCAGUCUUGGAACUGGACGCAGGAGGCAAAACAAGAACCCUUCUUGAGCCUGUGUUCCCAGCUUCAGAGAUGCUCUUUUGAUCAAGCCAUAGAUGAGAUGGUACCUGCGAACUAGGCUUCACACUUGCAGGAAGAAGAUGUGGGAUCCUCCCUCAAGAGGACCAUGGCUCCAUUAAUAAAUUUUCUGAGGACUUAGCGUUCUUUUUGCUUUGCUUCUAUUUUAUUUUGUUUUUGCUCAGGUAACCAGGUUAUGGAGAGGAAAGGCAUAACUUAAUUUGAGGUUCUGAUGGUUGUGAUCAUUUACAAAGGAGGCGGUACUUACCUCAUGAUUUCCCUCUGUAUCUGCCAGGAAAGGCUAAGUUAUGCUGCUGUAACAAACAAGCCCACCAUCUCGAGGGCUUAAAACAAUUUUUCAUAUCACAUAACAUAUCUGUUUGUUGGCUUGGGCAGAAGGGAUUAGCUCAUCAAACCUAGGAUCUUCUGCUGAUGGAGCAGCCCCUGUCUCUAACACUGUGGGUCCACAGACCAGAGGAAAAAGAGAUCUGGAGCAUUUUGCAUUGGCAAUUAAUUGGUCAUAACUCAUUGCCCCAAACUAGUUACAUGACCCCACCCAACCCCAAGAGGAAUAAUAGUUACACUCUUACCAUAUUCCUGGAAAGGAAGAAAACAAGAAAUUUUGGCAAACAGCUUUAAUAGCUAUCAUGCCAAUCCUUGGGUGUAAAACCCUCUCUGAGAUGGGAGUGAUUUUUGCAAGGGUCAGAAAGAGCUUGGAAAUUGUUGUCCUUCUGGCCUUAAACGAGAAAGAUGGACCAAGUCUCUGCCAAGUCUUGGAGGGAAUAACUGGAGGAGGAUCCAUCGUGAAUCCACAUUCUGUUUAUACCCUUGUUUGUUUCUGAUGAAGACUUGUCUUAUGUUCUUGUCACCCUUUUCUUAAUAUACUACACUGAUUUUGGCCAAUUGCAUCUGUCAGGCUAGACUUAGUUUUGCCGUGGUUAUAAAUAGUUUCCAGAUCUCAAGUGCUCACUGUAACAAGUUUAUUUUUCACUCAUGGGACAUAUCCACUCUAGGCAUGGCUAAAUCUGCUCACCUUAGUCACUCAGAGACCCAGGAGCUCUGAGGCUGCAUCACACAUAUGCUUCCACAUCACCCUGCAGUUGGAGAGGAAGAUGGUGAUUCCCAAAACUGCUGUUCAAAUUUCUCCUUGGAAGGGACACACACCACUUAUACUCCAGAUUCAGUGGAGACACCAAGUCACGUGACCAUGUCUGAUUUCAAGAAGGAAGGAAAGUGCAGUCCUAUCAUUGCCUAGAAAGGGGGAAAGCCAGGAAAGUUGGGGAGCAAUCCCACUGACUAUGCCACCGACCAGACACAGAAAAAAGAUUAGAACCCCUCUGGGAUGGAUUUGCUACAUUAAACUCUAGGCAGGCCAGGAUUGGUGACUCAGACAUGGACUUGAGCAGAUGAGGAAGAACUUGACUUUCCCAAAGCAUUGUAAAGUUCAGAACUAUUUUCAUGCUCCUCAAUUUCUGUCUUUACAAAGCCGAGCAUGAAUUAUUAUCCUUAUCUUAAAGAAAAGAGAGGCCUAGAGAAAUGACAUAUUUUUCCAAAUUCCACACAACUUCAAGUGACAAAGGCAGAACAACCACCAGAGCUCUGAUUCAGAAUCAUCUCCCCUCUCUCUGUGCCAGCCAGCGGUGACAGUGACUCCUGAGCCCUCAUCUGUGUGCUAAAGGAAGGAGUGCUGUGGGAGAUUGGAGGGAGUCUAAGCAAUAAGACUGGCCAUUAGUUUGAUGCUUUAAGUAAAAAGAUGCCUAGUUCAUCAAAAACCAAAUUAGAAUUCAAUAUUUAAUAUAGAUUUUUAGACUAGCUAAGCAUGGUCAUUAUAAACAUUUGGAAAAUAUAAAAAAUAUUCAGAAGGAAAAAAAAUUACCCACCCAGAUAUAAAUACGUUUUUCAAAACCUUCUAGUUCAAACAAGGAGUUCCCACUGUGGCACGAUGGGAUUGGCGGUGUCUCCACAGCACCAGGACACAGGUUCGAUCCCUGGCCAGGCACAGUGGGUUAAAGGAUCUGGUGUCGCUGCAGCGGCAGUGUUGAUCUGAUCCCUGGCACAGAGCUUCACAUGGCACAGGGCAGCCCAAAAAGAAAUAAAACAAAAUGACUUUCUUGUUCAAAUAAAAAUUUUAGGCUUGUGAAAAUAUGAAAGAAAUCCAGGGGUACUGCCAUGCAGCUUAAGAACAAGUCAUCUUGGAGUUCCCGUCAUGGCUAAGUAGUUAAUGAACCCGACUAGUAUUCAUGAGGAUGUGGGCUCAAUCUCUCUUGCUCAGUAGGUUAAGGAUCUGGCGUUGCUGUGGCUGUGGUGUAGGCUGGUGGCUGUAGCUCCUAUUGGACCCCUAGCCUGGGAACCUCCAUAUGCACGGGUGUGGCCCUAGAAAGACAAAAAAAAAAAAAAAAAAAAAAAAAAAAAAG